rnacentral:lncRNA from 1 species
AUAUUGGAAACAAAGAGAAAAAGAAGGAGAAAAUGACAAUAUAGAUGUAGUAUUUGAACAUGAGAAUAGACAAAUAGGAGAAACAAAAGGAAAAAAUAGUGUAGAUAGCUUUUAUGUGGACAUUUUUAAAGAUCCACUAUUUUCGAAAAUGAUCACAUACCAAAAGGCUAAAAGAUUAUUCUUAGCUUUGAAAGAAAACGG